UCCAGCAGCCGCGGUAAUACGUAGGUGGCAAGCGUUGUCCGGAUUUAUUGGGCGUAAAGCGAGCGCAGGCGGUUUUUUAAGUCUGAUGUGAAAGCCUUCGGCUCAACCGAAGAAGUGCAUCGGAAACUGGGAAACUUGAGUGCAGAAGAGGACAGUGGAACUCCAUGUGUAGCGGUGAAAUGCGUAGAUAUAUGGAAGAACACCAGUGGCGAAGGCGGCUGUCUGGUCUGUAACUGACGCUGAGGCUCGAAAGUAUGGGUAGCAAACAGGAUUAGAUACCCUGGUAGUCCAUACCGUAAACGAUGAAUGCUAAGUGUUGGAGGGUUUCCGCCCUUCAGUGCUGCAGCUAACGCAUUAAGCAUUCCGCCUGGGGAGUACGGCCGCAAGGCUGAAACUCAAAGGAAUUGACGGGGGCCCGCACAAGCGGUGGAGCAUGUGGUUUAAUUCGAAGCUACGCGAAGAACCUUACCAGGUCUUGACAUACUAUGCAAAUCUAAGAGAUUAGACGUUCCCUUCGGGGACAUGGAUACAGGUGGUGCAUGGUUGUCGUCAGCUCGUGUCGUGAGAUGUUGGGUUAAGUCCCGCAACGAGCCGCACCCUUAUUAUCAGUUGCCAGCAUUAAGUUGGGCACUCUGGUGAGACUGCCGGUGACAAACCGGAGGAAGGUGGGGAUGACGUCAAAUCAUCAUGCCCCUUAUGACCUGGGCUACACACGUGCUACAAUGGAUGGUACAACGAGUUGCGAACUCGCGAGAGUAAGCUAAUCUCUUAAAGCCAUUCUCAGUUCGGAUUGUAGGCUGCAACUCGCCUACAUGAAGUCGGAAUCGCUAGUAAUCGCGGAUCAGCAUGCCGCGGUGAAUACGUUCCCGGGCCUUGUACACACCGCCCGUCACACCAUGAGAGUUUGUAACACCCAAAGUCGGUGGGGUAACCUUUUAGGAACCAGCCGCCUAAGGUGGGACAGAUGAUUAGGGUGAAGUCGUAACAAGGUAA
rnacentral:rRNA from 2 species